rnacentral:rRNA from 1 species
GAUGAACGCUAGCGGCAGGCCUAAUACAUGCAAGUCGAACGGUGUCUUCGGACAUAGUGGCGCACGGGUGCGUAACACGUAUGCAACCUACCUUACAUUGGGGGAUAGCCUUUCGAAAGGGAGAUUAAUACCGCAUAAGACAGUAGCCGGGCAUCCAGCAGCUGUUAAAGAUUUAUCGAUGUAAGCUGGGCAUGCGUCCAAUUAGCUAGUUGGUGAGGUAACGGCUCACCAAGGCAAUGAUUGGUAGGGGAACUGAGAGGUCAAUCCCCCACACUGGCACUGAGAUACGGGCCAGACUCCUACGGGAGGCAGCAGUAGGGAAUAUUGGGCAAUGGACGCAAGUCUGACCCAGCCAUGCCGCGUGCAGGAUGAAGGCGUUAUGCGUUGUAGACUGCUUUUAUACAGGAAGAAACGACUCUUGCGAGAGGCAUUGACGGUACUGUAUGAAUAAGCACCGGCUAACUCCGUGCCAGCAGCCGCGGUAAGAC